AACGCGAAGAACCUUACCUGGGCUCGAAAUGUAGAAGACGGAGCUGGAAACAGUUUUUCUCCGCAAGGGGCUUCUAUAUAGGUGCUGCAUGGCUGUCGUCAGCUCGUGCCGUGAGGUGUUUGGUUAAGUCCAGCAACGAGCGCAACCCUUAUCGUUAUUUGCCAGCGCGUAAUGGCGGGAACUAUAGCGAGACUGCCGGCGUUAAGCCGGAGGAAGGUGAGGAUGACGUCAAGUCCGCAUGGCCUUUAUGUCCAGGGCUACACACGUGCUACAAUGGGCGAUACAGAGGGAAGCCAAGCCGCGAGGCCGAGCCGAUCCUAUAAAAUCGCUCUCAGUUCAGAUUGCAGUCUGCAACUCGACUGCAUGAAGUUGGAAUUACUAGUAAUGGCGUGUCAGCUACAACGCCGUGAAUACGUUCCCGGGCCUUGUACACACCGCUGUA
rnacentral:rRNA from 1 species